ACACGUCUACAUUAGAUACCCGCGUAGUCCCAGCCGUAAACUAUGCGCGUUAGGUGUAUCGGUGACCACGAGUUACCGAGGUGCCGAAGGGAAACCGUGAAACGUGCCGCCUGGGAAGUACGGUCGCAAGGCUGAAACUUAAAGGAAUUGGCGGGGGAGCACCACAACAGGUGGAGCCUGCGGUUUAAUUGGACUCAACGCCGGACAACUCACCGGGAACGACAGCAAUAUGUAGGCCAGGCUGAAGACCUUGCCUGAAUCGCUG
rnacentral:rRNA from 1 species